UUGUGACAAAUAGAAGAAAGACGUGAGUUGUUUGGAUACAGUCUGUCGAAUCUAAGAUAACACCUCAGACUAUGAUUUGUACGUACCUCUCGUGCAUGUUUGCGUUGAUUCUUUCGCUGUGGACGGAUAUCUCGAGAGGCCAGUGCCCAGAAAAGUGUUAUUGCAAUGGAAAUCAGGUAGAAUGCAGAGGACAACUACUGUCGACCAUACCCCUUUCUCUGUCCAACGCUACAACGCACUUGGAUUUAUUGAACAACACGAUAGAAUUUCUACCCGACGAUGCUUUCAUUGGAUUGCCUGAUCUACUGCGUCUG